GCCGGGCAUGGUGGCGCUUACCUGUAAUCCCAGCUACUCGGAAGGCUGAGGCAGGAGAAUUGCUUGAACCCAGGAGGCGGAGGUUGCAGUGAGCCAAGAUGGUGCCAUUGCACUGCAGCCUGCUGACAGAGCAAGACUCCGUCUCAAAAAAAAAAAGUGGGAGUGAGAUUCUGCGUUUCUUUUGUGUGUGUGUGUGUGUGUGUGUGUGUGUGUGUGUGUGUGUGUGUUUUCAAGACAGAGUUUCACUCUUGUUGCCCAGGCUGGAGUGCAAUGGCACGAUCUUGGCUCACUGCAACCUCCAUCUCCUGGGUUCAAGUGAUUCUCCUGCCUCAG
rnacentral:sRNA from 1 species